AGUCUGGCCCUCACCCACAAAGAAAGCAACAGUCUCGGGCCCUCAGAGACCCCACCCCACCCACAUCUACCUACACCCACCCAGGACUCUAGCUGGGGCCUCGGGGCAGAAGUUCUUCCUAGGGUGUCACCUCCAGACACACUGCUGCGGCGGGAGGAUGCGUUUCUAAUGUGAGGGCCUCAGCGGCAUGGGACCCUGACUUAAGGGGUGGUGGGGGCCUACCAGACAGGGCUGAUGUUGGAAGACUGAGCUUGGGAGGCUUCUUAGUGGCCCAGUCACUCUACCAGGCGUGUGUGCACACGUGUGUCUGUGGGUGUAUAAGUAUAUGCUGCAGUCUGGUCUGUGUGAUGCACGCAUCGGAAUGUGUGAGUGUGCGAGGAGCUUGCCUCGGCCCACCCUUCCUCGUUCUUCCCUAGCAUCCCUGACCUCCUCCCUGGGACCCCUUUGGUAGGUGGGUGACAUGGGGGGGGUACAAAAGAGGAAGAGUCGCCUGAGAACAGGGAGGACGCGAGGAGAGAAAGGCGCCAGAGCCGGGGGCGAGGAGGCUGGGGGUACCAGGUCCGGGGCCAUGCAAUGAGUCAGGCUGUGAGAGCUGCAGGAGUCACUGAUGUGGGGACUGGGACUCGGCUCCCUCCAUCACCCCCAUGUGUCACAGUUGGAGAUGAGGCUCCCUGGAUCUCCCGAUUCCGGUGUCACAACUACGCUCACCAUGGGUUCCAUGACAACAGCCUCUUACCUUGUAGUCACGCAGCUACCCUCACACCCUCACAGGAGUGUCACAGGACUCAUGCAGGGCCCCCCCAACACCACCCAGUGGUCGUAUCCCAGUGACCCCUAUCUGUGAGACAUGAGGACCCUCACUGUCUUCACAUCCCCACUGACCAGAAAGCCAGAAUUCACAGGGGCACUCAGAAGCCAGACUAGACUGUGGUCACCAGGACAACGGGGUACCCAGCCCCUGGAGAGGCCUCGGCUGGCUAUCUCAUUCUCCAGGGGCUGCUGUGCCACCUUGCCCUGCUUGUGGGCCCUGAGAGGGACAAUGUCCAGCUCCAUGUCAUACAGCUCCCCAGUGAAGGGCAGGGCUCAGGCCCCAGCUCAGGAUCAAUGUGGCGAUGGCAUCCCCUCCAGAUUCCCCCUGCUGAGGCAGCAGC
rnacentral:lncRNA from 1 species